AUUGAACGCUGGCGGCAGGCCUAACACAUGCAAGUCGAACGAGUGGCGGACGGGUGAGUAAUGUCUGGGAAACUGCCUGAUGGAGGGGGAUAACUACUGGAAAAGGUAGCUAAUAACGCAUACCAUCAGAUGUGCCCAGAUGGGAUGAGCUAGUUGGUGGGGUAACGGCUCACCAAGGCGACGAUCCCUAGGUGGUCUGAGAGGAUGACCACCCACACUGGAACUGAGCCACGGUCCAGACUCCUACGGGAGGCAGCAGUGGGUAAUAUUGCACAAUGUGCGCAAGCCUGAUGCAGCCCUGCCGCGUGUAUGAAGAAGGCCUUCGGGUUGUAAAGUACUUUCAGCUGGGAGGCGUUACCCGCAGAAGAAGCACCGGCUAACUCCGUGCCAGCAGCCGCGGUAAUUC
rnacentral:rRNA from 1 species